GUGGGGAAUCUUCCGCAAUGGACGAAAGUCUGACGGAGCAACGCCGCGUGAGUGAAGAAGGUUUUCGGAUCGUAAAGCUCUUUCGUUAGGGACGAACGUGCUCUUUGUGAAUAAUGAGGAGUAAUGACGGUACCUAAAUAAGAAGCCACGGCUAACUACGUGCCAGCAGCCGCGGUAAUACGUAGGUGGCAAGCGUUGUCCGGAAUUAUUGGGCGUAAAGCGCGCGCAGGCGGGAUAUCAAGUCUGUCUUAAAAGUGCGAGGCUCAACCUCGUGAGGGGACAGAAACUGGUAUUCUUGAGUGUCGGAGAGGAAAGUGGAAUUCCAAGUGUAGCGGUGAAAUGCGUAGAGAUUUGGAAGAACACCAGUGGCGAAGGCGACUUUCUGGACGAAAACUGACGCUGAGGCGCGAAAGCCAGGGGAGCGAACGGGAUUAGAUACCCGUGUAGUCC
rnacentral:rRNA from 1 species